rnacentral:rRNA from 1 species
CUGGCGGCGUGCUUAACACAUGCAAGUCGAACGCGAACGAGUUCUUCGGAACUUUAGUAGAGUGGCGCACGGGUGAGUAACGCGUAAGUAAUCUGCCCUCGCAUCUGGGAUAACAAUUCGAAAGGAUUGCUAAUACCGGAUACGUUGAUUUAUCAAGAAAGGUGGCCAAGAAAGGUGGCCUCUGAUUUAAGCUACUGUGCGGGGAGGAGCUUGCGUACCAUUAGCUAGUUGGUGGGGUAAUGGCCUACCAAGGCGACGAUGGUUAGCGGGUCUGAGAGGAUGAUCCGCCACACUGGAACUGAAACACGGACCAGACUCCUACGGGAGGCAGCAGUGAGGAAUAUUGCGCAAUGGGGGCAACCCUGACGCAGCGACGCCGCGUGGAUGAUGAAGGCUUUCGGGUCGUAAAAUCCUGUCAGGUGGGAAGAAAUGAUAUAGAGUUAAUAACUUUAUGUUUUGACGGUACCACCAAAGGAAGCACCGGCUAACUCCGUGCCAGCAGCCGCGGUAAUACGGAGGGUGCAAGCGUUGUUCGGAAUUACUGGGCGUAAAGCGCGCGUAGGCGGCUUUUUAAGUCAGAUGUGAAAGUCCACGGCUCAACCGUGGAAGUGCAUUUGAAACUGGGGAGCUUGAGUAUUGGAGGGGAUAGUGGAAUUCCCGGUGUAGAGGUGAAAUGCGUAGAGAUUGGAAGGAACAUCAGUGGCGAAGGCGGCCACCUGGACAGAUACUGACGCUGAGGAACGAAAGCGUGGGGAGCAAACAGGAUUAGAUACCCUGGUAGUCCACGCCGUAAACGAUGUCAACUAGCCGUUUGUGUCCUUGAGACGUGAGUGGCGCAGCUAACGCACUAAGUUGACCGCCUGGGGAGUACGGCCGCAAGGCUAAAACUCAAAGGAAUUGACGGGGGCCCGCACAAGCAGUGGAGCAUGUGGUUUAAUUCGAAGCAACGCGCAGAACCUUACCAGGGCUAGACAAACUAAGAAUCCCGGAGAAACUCGGGAGUGUGCCUUCGGGAACUGUGUGCCAGGUGCUGCAUGGCUGUCGUCAGCUCGUGUCGUGAGAUGUUGGGUUAAGUCCCGCAACGAGCGCAACCCUUAUCCUUAGUUGCCAUCAUUUAGUUGGGCACUCAAAGGAGACUGCCGGGGUCAACCCGGAGGAAGGUGGGGAUGACGUCAAGUCCUCAUGGCCCUUAUGUCCUGGGCUACACACGUGCUACAAUGGUUGAUACAAAGCGCUGCGAAGCCGCGAGGUGGAGCGAAUCGCAAAAAGUCAGCCUCAGUACGGAUUGCACUCUGCAACUCGAGUGCAUGAAGGUGGAAUCGCUAGUAAUCGCGGAUCAGCACGCCGCGGUGAAUACGUUCCCGGGACUUGUACACACCGCCCGUCACACCAUGGGAGUCGAGUGCUCCAGAAGUGGCCGCGCUAACCCGCAAGGGAGGCAGGUCCCCAAGGAGUG